AACGAACGCUGGCGGCGCGUCUUAAGCAUGCAAGUCGGACGGCAAGGGUAGCAAUACCCCCUAGAGUGGCGGACUGGUGAGUAACGCGUGGGUGACCUACCCUCGAGAUGGGGAUAGCCAUUAGAAAUAGUGGAUAAUACCGAAUACGCUCUACGGACUCUGGUUUGUAGAGGAAAUCAGGCUACGGCCUGGCUCGAGGAUGGGCCCGCGUCCCAUUAGCUAGUUGUGAGGUAACGGCCCACCAAGGCGACGAUGGGUAUCCGGCCUGAGAGGGUGUACGGACACAUUGGGACUGAGAUACGGCCCAGACUCCUACGGGAGGCAGCAGUAGGGAAUAUUGGGCAAUGGUCGGAAGUCUGACCCAGCCAUGCCGCGUGCAGGAAGACGGCCCGUCCUGGGUUGUAAACUGCUUUAUCUGGAGAAAAGGCCAUGCGUGGCAAAUUGCCGGUACCAGAUGAAUAAGCACCGGCUAACUCCGUGCCAGCAGCCGC
rnacentral:rRNA from 1 species